rnacentral:rRNA from 1 species
UACAGAGGUCUCAAGCGUUGUUCGGAUUCAUUGGGCGUAAAGGGUGCGUAGGCGGCGCGGUAAGUCGGGUGUGAAAUCUCGGAGCUUAACCCCGAAACUGCAUUCGAUACUGCCGUGCUUGAGGACUGGAGAGGAGACUGGAAUUCUCGGUGUAGCGGUGAAAUGCGUAGAUAUCGAGAGGAACACCUGCGGCGAAAGCGGCCACCUGGACUGCACCUGACGCUGACACGCGAAAGCUAGGGGAGCGAACGGG